rnacentral:lncRNA from 1 species
UCUCCUUCUUCCCCAACUCCCUCGAACCAAAAUCAAAACAACCCCCUCCCAGUAGUCGGUCGCCACCUUCGGCGCCACUACCUCAACGUCGACUCCAACGCUGCCUGAAAACCAUGCACCACCACCACCACCACCACCACCACCUUAAAACCGGUGGCUCCCUCGUGCACAAAACCCCACUUUAGUCUUGGCCCCCAAAAUUUUUUGAUGUGUGUUUUGUGAAGAGUACUCAGUGGCUGCUUCAAUUCAAUGUGUCUCUUCACAAAGUCGUCCUUAGCAAUGCUUCUUCUUUCCAUUUUGUACAGUAGAUUCAAGUGAGAGGGAGUCGUGUUGCGGCUGUUUCUUCAGUUAUAAGAUUCCAUCCAGUUUAUAUUUGUGAAAUCUAAUUUGUAUAUGAUUUAUGAUUAUUUUUGUU